UGAUGAAUCAAUGCUUGCUCCCCAGUACAAAGGCUUGUAUGGAGUCAUGAAAGGACUCUGCAAGGUUGGAGGAUGGAGGAUGGAUCAGGAAGGAAGGACAGUGGAUGUUACACCAGAUGGUGAACUCUAUACAUUAGAGCCAGAGGACGCACAUCUGAGUUGGAUUCUUUCGGGAAACGUGAUGGCUUGAGACUGCCCCUGAACCAGCCAUUUGUCUUGCAAAUGAAAGUUCUUGGGCACACAAAAGGACUCAGAAAGAGUGCUUGGAUCAGCAUAAAUUCAUCAUCAUUAGGGUAAAGCCACCUCAAAGAAUAUGCCUUAAUGAAUGUGAUUCGAAGAUAUCAGAUCUUCAAAAUCAUAAAUCAGGAUGACCACUGGUAGUGAUGUCACAGAGAGGGAGAGAGACAGAUGAUCUUAAACAAGCUUCUUGCCCAGUGAAGAGCUUGGCAUAAGACUGAUCUCAUGACCCUGAGAUCAUGGCCUGAGGCGAAAUGAAGAGUCGGAUGCUUAACCACUGAGCCACCCAAGUGCCCCAGCCACAAAAUAUCUUAAAAUUAAGGUAUAUACAUUGUUUUUUUAG